ensembl:lncRNA
AAAAAAUGCUAGAAUAUAACAAUGGGCACUCUAACCACUUUAAAUAACAAGGGGGACUCUAACCACUUUAAAUAACAAGGGGGACUCUAACCACUUUAAAUAACAAUGGGCACUCUAACCACUUUAAAUAACAAGGGGGACUCUAACCACUUUAAAUAACAAGGGGGACUCUAACCACUUUAAAUAACAAGGGGGACUCUAACCACUUUAAAUAACAAGGGGGACUCUAACCACUUUAAAUAACAAGGGGGACUCUAACCACUUUAAAUAACAAGGGGGACUCUAACCACUUUACUAUACUGAAUGUAGUGUUCAUGUCUAUGAUGUUCUCACUGUCUUCUAUCUACUAUAGACAAGACUGAUGACCUAAGGAAGGAGAAUGACAAGACUGAUGACCUCCUAAACCUUGAUUACCUGUGGAGAGAGGGUGAGUACAUCAUACGUACAUAAACACACAUACACACAGACACACACAUACAACACACACAAGCACACAGACACACACACACAUACAACACACACAAGCACACAGCCACACAUGCAAGCACAGACACACACAUACAACACACACAAGCACACAGACACACACACACAUACAACACACACAGGCACACAGCCACGCAUGCAAGCACAGACACACACAGUGGUGUGAAAAAGUUUUUGUUAUUAUUAAGGGAAAACAAAAUCCAAACAUACAUGGCCCUGAUUGAAAAGUGAUUGACCCCUACAACCUAAUAACUGGUUGGGCCACCCUUUUUCUGAAAUGCAGUGUUACUUUUACACCAGAUGUCAUGGGGGACACACCUUCCAAAAAGUUCAACUUUUGUCUCGUCAGUCCACAGAGUAUUUUCCCAAAAGUAUUGGGGAUCAUCAAGAUGUUUUCUGGCAAAAAUUAGACAAGCCUUAAUGUUCUUUUUCCUCAGCAGUCUUGGAACUGCCAUGCAGGCCAUUUUUACCCAGUCUCUUUCUUAUGGUGGAGUCAUGAACACUGACCUUAACUGAGGCAAGUGAGGCCUGCAGCUCUUUGGAUGUUGUUGUGGGGUCUUUUGUGACCUCUUGGAUGAGUCGUCGCUGCGCUCUUGGGGUAAUUUUGUCGACCGGAC